AGAGUUUGAUCCUGGCUCAGGACGAACGCUGGCGGCGUGCCUAAUACAUGCAAGUAGAACGCUGAAGAAAGGAGCUUGCUCUUCUUGGAUGAUUUGCGAACGGGUGAGUAACGCGUAGGUAACCUGCCUUGUAGCGGGGGAUAACUAUUGGAAACGAUAGCUAAUACCGCAUAACAAUGGAUGACACAUGUCUUUUAUUUGAAAGGGGCAAUUGCUCCUCUACAAUAUGGACCUGCGUUGUAUUAUCUAGUAGGUGAGGUAACGGCUCACCUAGGCGACGAUACAUACCCGACCUGAGAGGGUGAUCGGCCACACUGGGACUGACACACGGCCCACACUCCUACGGGAGGCAGCAGUAGGGAAUCUUCGGCAAUGGGGGCAACCCUGACCGAGCAACGCCGCGUGAGUGAAAAAGGUUUUCAGAUCGUAAAGCUCUGUUGUAAGUCAAGAACGAGUGUGAGGGUGGAAAGUUCACACUGUGACGGUAGCUUACCAGAAAGGGACGGCUAACUACGUGCCAGCAGCCGCGGUAAUACAUAUGUCCCGAGCGUUGUCCGGAUUUAUUGGGCGUAAAGCGAGCGCAGGCGGUUUGAUAAGUCUGAAGUUAAAGGCUGUGGCUCAACCAUAGUUCGCUUUGGAAACUGUCAAACUUGAGUGCAAAAGGAGAGAGUGGAAUUCCAUGAGUAGCGGUGAAAUGCGUAUAUAUGUGGAGGAACACCGGUGGCGAAAGCGGCUCUCUGGUCUGUAACUGACGCUGAGGCUCGAAAGCGUGGAGAGCGAACAGGAUUAUAUACCCUGAUAGUCCACGCCGUAAACGAUGAGUGCUAGGUGUUGGAUUCUUCUCCGGUAUUCAGUGCCGCAUCUAACGCAUUAAGCACUCCGCCUGGAGAGUACGACCGCGAGGUUGACACUCAGAGGAUUGACGGGCGCCGCACAGCUGUGCAGCAUGUGUUUUUACUCAGAGCACGCGAGACCUUACAAGUCGUGACUCCCGAUGCUAUUCUAGAAGAUAGAAGUUACUUCGGUACAUCGAGACGUGUCCAUGUUGUCAUCAUCUCGGUUCUGAAGUUGGUAGUCCGCACGAGCAACCUUAUUGUAAUGCAUCAUCAUUGGAUUCUACGGAAUGCCGGUAUAGC
rnacentral:rRNA from 1 species